rnacentral:misc_RNA from 1 species
UCAUAGCCCCAAAUACAAGGAGCACU